UUUCCGUAGGUGAACCUGCGGAAGGAUCAUUACAUUGGUUUCUACACCGAUACCCUGUGAACUAUCUAUGUUUGGUGUGUCUGCAUCCUCGUGGUGCGUGGUGCGAGGUGUUGUGUCUCGCACCGGCACACCAGUUUUACCCAAUUUAUGUCUGAUCAUGAGAAACAAACCAGAGAAAACCUCCAACAACGGAUCUCUUGGCUCCGGCAUCGAUGAAGAACGCAGC
rnacentral:misc_RNA from 1 species